rnacentral:lncRNA from 1 species
GCAGAUAAAUAUUGAGUGAUGGCUGGCAAAACCACAUCUUCCCUCUCUCACCGUGGUUACAAGAAUUUUGAAUUACUGAAUUACUGCUUUCCGUGGAGCUGACCGUUUAGCAGCUCAUAACCUGGAACAAGGAUUCUGCGUGGAAGUACAGGAGAUGCAGAAGCAGAGUCAGUCGAAGCCAAGUAAGUAGAGGGAUUCUCAGGGAGAGUGAAAAAAUAUGAACUUUUUAAUGAAUUUGUUGACUCUAAAUUGAUCAGUGCCACUUACUGGUUAUGCCUUUGUAUGUGAUGCUGUAGGGGGCCACAGGGCCUUAUCAUGACUUUUGUGACAUGAUGCCUAGUUGCCUCUGGACACCCAUCCCCCCAUCCCUUCUCCCCAGCACUCACUAUUCCAGA